rnacentral:rRNA from 1 species
AAUAGAUACCCCGGGUAGUCCACGCCGUAAACGAUGAUAACUAGCUGUCCGGGCUCAUGGAGCUUGGGUGGCGCAGCUAACGCAUUAAGUUAUCCGCCUGGGGAGUACGGUCGCAAGAUUAAAACUCAAAGGAAUUGACGGGGGCCUGCACAAGCAGUGGAGCAUGUGGUUUAAUUCGAAGCAACGCGCAGAACCUUACCAGCCUUUGACAUGCCUAGUAUGGUUUCCAGAGAUGGAUUCCUUGUCUUCGGACGCUAGGACACAGGUGCUGCAUGGCUGUCGUCAGCUCGUGUCGUGAGAUGUUGGGUUAAGUCCCGCAACGAGCGCAACCCUCGUCCUUAGUUGCCAUCAUUCAGUUGGGCACUCUAAGGAAACCGCCGGUGAUAAGCCGGAGGAAGGUGGGGAUGACGUCAAGUCCUCAUGGCCCUUACAGGCUGGGGCUACACACGUGCUACAAUGGCGGUGACAGUGGGCAACAAACUCGCGAGAGUGAGCUAAUCUCCAAAAGCCGU